UGGGGAAUAUUGGACAAUGGGCGAAAGCCUGAUCCAGCAAUGCCGCGUGAGUGAUGAAGGCCCUAGGGUUGUAAAGCUCUUUUACCCGGGAAGAUAAUGACUGUACCGGGAGAAUAAGCCCCGGCUAACUCCGUGCCAGCAGCCGCGGUAAUACGGAGGGGGCUAGCGUUGUUCGGAAUUACUGGGCGUAAAGCGCACGUAGGCGGCUUUGUAAGUUAGAGGUGAAAGCCCGGGGCUCAACCCCGGAAUAGCCUUUAAGACUGCAUCGCUUGAACACGGGAGAGGUGAGUGGAAUUCCGAGUGUAGAGGUGAAAUUCGUAGAUAUUCGGAAGAACACCAGUGGCGAAGGCGGCUCACUGGACCGUUGUUGACGCUGAGGUGCGAAAGCGUGGGGAGCAAACAGGAUUAGAUACCCCCGUAGUCC
rnacentral:rRNA from 1 species